AAUAUUUAAUCUUCAUAUCUAGACGAUAUUUUGAGCACCUUACGUCAUUUUGUAUCGAAAGUAUUGUUUAGAAAUAGUAAAUCGAUUGCUUGAAAUAAACCGUAGAAAAAAGUGCGUGAAAUUCUAAUUUCGUCAUCCGACGAAACAAUGCACCUUAGCAAAUCGUUUAAGACAAAACGGCCUGUCGGUACAGCUUUUUCACAAAUAUUCCGACCAAAUCUUACUUGUAUAUAUGAGUUUGAAUACCAAAAUCACUCAUAUAUAGUAGUUUUCAUAAACCAUCACCUACUUUCUAUGAAGAAAAACAUCGUGAGGAAACCUGCAAAUUGUAAACUUGCGUUUGAAAUGGAGAAGGCAAUGGCAAGCCACUCCAUUAAUAGUGCCAAGAAAGUUGUUGUGUGUGUUUCAUUCCACGUAAUGACCACGACCCUCAGCCAUGAGUAAUGGCCGCGUCAUGACUGCACUUCGUGAUCAAUCUCCGUGACUAGUAAUGGACCACGAUUUCGUCCACUGCUGGAUUAUCUGCGCUCAUAGAAUAGCUAUUUGUAUAUAAAGCGCUAUAUCAUCAUCAAGGGGCGCCAUCUUCGAAUUGAAGUUUUGAGGUCAGCAUACGAAAUCCCUCGCGGCUCUGGGCCGCUAUUUUAGUAUAGAUUAUACAAAGUAAUUUAUAUUUUUUAUUAUAAUUUAGGUAAAGUAUUCCAACCAUGCCAUAAAUAUGGUUACUCAGUGGAUUUUUCUGGUAUGAACCGAACAAAUCCGAAAGUUAAGCUAACACCAACACCUUGUCCUAAGCCACAGCUGUUUUGUAUAAAUCUAAGGUCUUAAUGCUGUGAACCAGUUGAAAGCGGUUUUCGUCGGAUUAUACCGGGACACAACCCAGAUUUUCUUACAAAAACAUGGAAAAUAAAGAAAGUGUUGCUUAUAAAAAGGUUUUACCUUUUACUAAGCGAGUCUGAGUUUGUUGUGUAUAUUUUUUUUUUGCAGUAAGAUUUUGAAGUAUAUCCUAUACCUACCUUCUUCCUUGCUAAUAUAUUACCUACAAUAUUUUUACCCGUAAGUAUUUUUGGAUAAAUUAAAUAAUAUCCUAUGUGUUAUUUCAGUUCAUAUUAUACUUAUUUAAAUCAAGUAAUAUAUAAAGGAUGAUUGAGUAG